rnacentral:rRNA from 1 species
UACGUAAGUGGCGAGCGUUAUCCGGAAUUACUGGGCGUAAAGCGUGCGUAGGCGGUUUAGUGUGUGGGAUUUGAAAUCCCCGGGCUCAACCUGGGAAUGGCGAUGAAGACUGCAAGGCUAGAAUCUGGCAGAGGGGGGUAGAAUUCCACGUGUAGCAGUGAAAUGCGUAGAGAUGUGGAGGAACACCGAUGGCGAAGGCAGCCCCCUGGGUCAAGAUUGACGCUCAUGCACGAAAGGCGUGGG